UACAAAGGGUGCAAGCGUUACUCGGAAUUACUGGGCGUAAAGCGUGCGUAGGUGGUUCGUUAAGUCUGAUGUGAAAGCCCUGGGCUCAACCUGGGAAUGGCAUUGGAAACUGGCGACCUAGAGUGCGGUAGAGGGUAGUGGAAUUCCCGGUGUAGCAGUGAAAUGCGUAGAGAUCGGGAGGAACAUCCGUGGCGAAGGCGACUACCUGGACCAGCACUGACACUGAGGCACGAAAGUGUGGGGAGCGAACAGG
rnacentral:rRNA from 1 species